ACUCCUACGGGAGGCAGCAGUGGGGAAUAUUGCACAAUGGGCGCAAGCCUGAUGCAGCCAUGCCGCGUGUGUGAAGAAGGCCUUCGGGUUGUAAAGCACUUUCAGUUGUGAGGAAGGAUGGUGUCGUUAAUAGUACGGCAUCAUUGAUCGUUUAGCAACAUGAAGAAGCACCGGCAUAACUCCGGUAGCCAGCAGCCGCGGUAAUACGGAGGGUGCGAGCGUUAAUCGGAAUUACUGGGCGUAAAGCGCAUGCAGGUGGUUUGUUAAGUCAGAUGUGAAAGCCCGGGGCUCAACCUCGGAAUC
rnacentral:rRNA from 1 species